rnacentral:rRNA from 1 species
UACGUAGGGUGCAAGCGUUAAUCGGAAUUACUGGGCGUAAAGCGUGCGCAGGCGGUUAUGUAAGACAGUUGUGAAAUCCCCGGGCUCAACCUGGGAACUGCAUCUGUGACUGCAUAGCUAGAGUACGGUAGAGGGGGAUGGAAUUCCGCGUGUAGCAGUGAAAUGCGUAGAUAUGCGGAGGAACACCGAUGGCGAAGGCAAUCCCCUGGACCUGGUACUGACGCUCAUGCACGAAAGGCGUGGGGACAAACAGG